rnacentral:rRNA from 1 species
UGAGGAAUAUUGGUCAAUGGGCGAGAGCCUGAACCAGCCAAGUAGCGUGAAGGAUGACUGCCCUAUGGGUUGUAAAACUUCUUUUAUAAAGGAAUAAAGUCGGGUAUGGAUACCCGUUUGCAUGUACUUUAUGAAUAAGGAUCGGCUAACUCCGUGCC